rnacentral:rRNA from 1 species
GGGAGAUCCCCCACACUGGUACUGAGACACGGACCAGACUCCUACGGGAGGCAGCAGUGAGGAAUAUUGGGCAAUGGAGGCAACUCUGACCCAGCCAUGCCGCGUGCAGGAAGACGGCCCUAUGGGUUGUAAACUGCUUUUAUACAGGAAGAAACUUAUCCACGUGUGGAUAACUGACGGUACUGUAAGAAUAAGGACCGGCUAACUCCGUGCCAGCAGCCGCGGUAAUACGGAGGGUCCAAGCGUUAUCCGGAAUCAUUGGGUUUAAAGGGUCCGUAGGCGGGCAAUUAAGUCAGAGGUGAAAUCCCACAGCUCAACUGUGGAACUGCCUUUGAUACUGGUUGUCUUGAGUUAUAGUGAAGUAGAUAGAAUAUGUAGUGUAGCGGUGAAAUGCAUAGAUAUUACAUAGAAUACCGAUUGCGAAGGCAGUCUACUAACUGUACACUGACGCUAAUGGACGAAAGCGUGGGGAGCGAACAGGAAGAGAUACCCUGGUAGUCCACGCCGUAAA